UAUGACACAUCACACAAUGAUUUCUGGUAUAACUCAUGCAGUAUGGUGCAAAGUUGGUAACCCUGCUGUGCCAAGUUGCUAGUUACUGGGGAAUUUGUGACUGGUAUAAUAUAUGAUCCUGGUAUGAUGUGGAAAAUGCACUCCAUGAACCAUUAUUUGCACUACAGAAUGAACUACACUAAAGUGAUAAUAGUAUGGGAUGUUUACGAGGGAGAAGAAUGGAGAGGGGGGGGACAGGAAGACGUACCAACCUCCACAAGUCAUCACGGCUGCUGUGCCAGUGUUUGUUGCGGUCAAUUUCAGAACCUAGAGUAACAAAAAAUAUUUUGACAGGUGUACUAGCUAACUAACCGGACACUAAACAUUGCUAUCCUGCAGCUAACCAGUCCUUGCAUUCAACUAACAGUCUCACCCUUUCAGGUCCUCACCUUGCUGUAGGAGACCUGAUAACAUGUACCAGCCAUUUUACCAAACACUAAACACUACCACCAUUGAACUGACCAGUCCCACACCCCAACAGGGUGCUGUAGGAGAGCUGACAACACGUACCAGCCAGCAACUCCCAUGCUGACGGGCUUCUCCCCCAUGGGUAUGUAGCACCUCUGGAGUUGGUCAGCAAAGAAGAGGAUGCUAGCCAAACCUAUCAUGUUAGUCAGGAUGCACCAGUACAGAGCUGUGUCCAUUGGGGUUGUGUAGGCUAGUAGCAUCUUGUCAAGAUCAUCAUAGGUGGCCACAAACAGUUUAUAGCUAUGAGAGGAGGACUUGCCUUGUGAACAUCACAUUGGGGAAGCCCACCCCAGCAGCCCAGCCUCCCCUGACAGCUGUCAUCAUCUGCUGCCUUGCCUGGGAGGACCAUAGACACAGCUUGUCUCUGAUGUCUUCCCCACAAUGCCUUGUCUUUGUUGGCUUCAGUGCAAUUUGUUUGUCUUCAGUUUAAAUAGUAUUGUAUAUACUAUCUUGUCUUCACCAUCUUGAAAUGUGAAGGAUGUUCUUGACAAACAAACAAGGUAGUAUUGUAUAAUUAUUACUUUAAAUAUUGUCUUAAAUUAUCUUGAAAUUUGUAAAAAAAAAAAUGUGUAAAAAGAAAGCAAAUACAGAUGAUUAUCCCUGUAGUGAAGGAGGAAGGACUCAAUAUCCCUGUAGUGAAGGAGGAAGGACUCAAUAUCCCUGUAGUGAAGGAGGAAGGACUCAAUAUCCCUGUAGUGAAGGAGGAAGGACUCAAUAUCCCUGUAGUGAAGGAGGAAGUACUCAAUAUCCCUGUAGUGAAGGAGGAAGGACUCAAUUUUUUUUUAAGUUCAAGGUGUGAUUUGCACAUAGAGGCUCCUGGAUUUCCCUGUAGAGUGACCCUCCCUGAAUGCAGGGAGGGACGGUGCCUCUAUGUACAAAUCGCACCUUAAACUUAGUAUUUUGUAGUGUUAAAUUUAGUAUUUUGUAGUGAAGCCUUAAACUUAGUAUUUUGUAGUGAAGCCUUAAACUUAGUAUUUUGUAGUGAAGGAGGGAGGAAGGACUCCUUUCUGAGUCCUUCCUCCUUCACUACAGGGAUAUUGAUCUCUAUAAAUAAUUUUUUUUUACAAAGCUAGCUAACAAUUAUAAGGCAGAUUACAUUGAGUCAUAAUUAUUAAGCAAAUUUAAUUUUUUUUUCACAAUACAAUUAUUAAAUUUGACAAAUUA